GCAGAGAGGUAAGUGACUUCAUCAGGUUCACAGAGGAAGCCUGUGGCCGAACUAGGAAUGGACCCCAAGUGUCCAGAUUCCCAGUCCUUAACCGGGAGAACAUCUCAGAUAAUUACCCUGCCACGGCGCUUGUGAAAGGUUGGAUUUCUUACACUGUCGAGAUCUGGAAUUUCUUACGUUCUGCACUGCUAGUCUCUGGUUUUGGGUUUUCUAACACUGAGUUUCCUUGUCUUAUAGGUCAGCCAAAGGCAUCUCCUACAGUGCACCUCUUCCCUCCAUCCUCUGAAGAGAUAAAAACAAAGAGCAAAGCCACACUGGUGUGUCUGCUGGGCAGCUUUUACCCAGGGGCAGUCCAAGUCACCUGGAAAGCUGAUGGCCAGCAGAUCUCCACUGGAGUGGAGACGACCAAGCCAUCCAAACAGAGUGACAACAAGUACAUGGCCAGCAGUUACCUGUCUCUGGAUGCAUCAAAGUGGAAGACCCAUGAAACCUACACCUGUGAGGUGACA